GACGAACGCUGGCGGCGUGCUUAACACAUGCAAGUCGAACGGAAAGGCCCUGCUUUUUUGGGGUGCUCGAGUGGCGAACGGGUGAGUAACACGUGAGUAACCUGCCCUUGACUUUGGGAUAACUUCAGGAAACUUGGGCUAAUACCGGAUAGGAGCUCCUGCUGCAUGGUGGGGGUUGGAAAGUUUCGGCGGUUGGGGAUGGACUCGCGGCUUAUCAGCUUGUUGGUUGGGUAGUGGCUUACCAAGGCUUUGACGGGUAGCCGGCCUGAGAGGGUGACCGGCCACAUUGGGACUGAGAUACGGCACAGACUACUACGGGAGGCAGCAGUGGGGAAUAUUGCACAAUGGGAGGAAGCCUGAUGCAGAAACGCCGCGUGCGGGAUGACGGCCUUCGGGUUGUAAACCGCUUUCGCCUGUGACGAAGCGUGAGUGACGGUAAUGGGUAAAGAAGCACCGGCUAACUACGUG
rnacentral:rRNA from 1 species